rnacentral:sRNA from 1 species
UCUUCCACAACGCAAUCAUCUCUUCUCCGGUCGACUGCGGCCAGUGGAGGUUGAGC